GACGAACGCUGGCGGCGUGCUUAACACAUGCAAGUCGAACGGAAAGGCCCUGCUUUUGUGGGGUGCUCGAGUGGCGAACGGGUGAGUAACACAUGAGUAACCUGCCCUUGACUUUGGGAUAACUUCAGGAAACUGGGGCUAAUACCGGAUAGGAGCUCCUGCUGCAUGGUGGGGGUUGGAAAGUUUCGGCGGUUGGGGAUGGACUCGCGGCUUAUCAGCUUGUUGGUGGGGUAGUGGCUUACCAAGGCUUUGACGGGUAGCCGGCCUGAGAGGGUGACCGGCCACAUUGGGACUGAGAUACGGCCCAGACUCCUACGGGAGGCAGCAGUGGGGAAUAUUGCACAAUGGGCGGAAGCCUGAUGCAGCAACGCCGCGUGCGGGAUGACGGCCUUCGGGUUGUAAACCGCUUUCGCCUGUGACGAAGCGUGAGUGACGGUAAUGGGUAAAGAAGCACCGGCUAACUACGUG
rnacentral:rRNA from 1 species